ensembl:lncRNA
CUCCUUUGUUCCCACUCUCAUUUCUACUUUCUCAAAUGAUAGAUAACUUUCAAAAAUCUCUUUUCCCCUCUGUUUGAAGACAAGAGCAGCUAAAUGCAAAUAGAACUGCAUGAAAAUCUGCUUCUGAUCCAGCUCUUCUGUUCAGUGUGUACCAAACCAGGAAAUUCCAAGUCUUAAUUGUUUUGAGAGAUGGUUUCAAAAAACAAUAGAGUGAAACAUUGGUAGAACCAGGAUCCUGGUAUUUUUGGCACUACGUGGAAUCUACAGGUCCAAGCCCUGCGAAAGAAACCAAUACUUCAUGUAACCCGUGAAUUUGAAGCCUUGUCCCAGCAGCACAGCUCCCUGCAGGAUGAAUGCUGGAAAGGGAGCGUUCAGGGGAGAGACUCUGAACCGAUCAGCCCAGUUCCUCUCUUCUGCCCGAUAAACCACACUCAUUUCAAGAAGGCUGGGAGGCAGGAGGAGCCUCGAGGCCACCAGCUGGCUGUGCAGUGCUGGUAAGGCUGCUCCACCAGGCAGCGUGAGUCACAGCCCUGCAGAUUAAAGUCCCCAUGAUACAGCAAGAAGGCCUUGCGAAAUACGUGUGUCGU